CUACCAACACUCCCGGGGUGGGGGUGGCGGGUACUGAGUGGGAAUGAUUAGAAUAAAAUUGAGGACUCUAGCAGCGGACUUAGAAUGGUAUCAGCGGGUUCUCAUCCUACAACCUGACUUUGGAAGUUGGAGAUAAGGGGUGUCUAGGGGUUGGGUCAGACUCCAGUUUUGGAGUCUGACUCACAGUUGGGCGGAGCCAAGGCCCCCUGAGGCUGAGCCAGAACCUCUGAGAGUGAACCUGGAGACUCAGAGGGCAGCUGGCAGGGCUCACAGUGUGGGGUCCCACCCUGCAGAGGCUGGGUCAGGCCCUCAAGGGCUGGGUUGCUGGCUUCAAGAGGCUGGGCCAGGAUGUCAAGGGGCGGAGUUCCGGGUUCCACAGCUGGGACAGUGUUGCCCAGAGCUGAUUCCUGGGACUUGCAGAAACGUGCGAAGCUGCUCCUGCCGCACGUCCACCAGGUACCUGCAGAUGGGAAGCGCCCUGUCAGGGACCCAGAUUUUGAUCCCCAGCCAGGAUGUUCCCCACCCUCCACCCCACUGACUCACCGGGCUAAUUCCACAAUCAAGUUCCCUCCGGGUGCCACACAGGCCCCAAGCUCAGGGAUGAGAAGAUGGACCAUACUGCAGAGAGGACGGAGGACAGGCUGAGAUUCAGCUCCAAAUCCGGAGGGAGGAUGGGGCUCUGGGAUCCCAGACAAUGAGGGAGGAGGGGUGGCAAAACUGGAGUCUGGGUCCUGGGGAAAGAAGGGAGCAGGAGGUCUGGACUCCUGGGUCUGAGGGAGGAGGGGCUGGGGGCCUGGACCCCUGGGUCUAAGCAAGGAGGGGCUGGGGGCCUGGACUCCUGGGUCUGAGGGAGGAGGGGCUGGGGGCCUGAUCCUGGGUCUUUGUGAGCACAGCUGCCUCCCCGCUUACCCACAGGCCACAUAGAGGAGCUGGAAUCGGCCGUUGUAGCAGCUCUUGUGGUGGAGAGUCUGAGCAGAAUUGAGCGGCAGGAAGUGGACGUCCCAGCCUCGCCGCGCACCUUGACUGGCUGGCCGUUGCUCGUCCGCAGGAGGCUCUCGUCGUCCGCUUCGAUGCCGAAGGCCACGAAGGGCCCCGUGGCGAUGUCCCCCCAGUACCCGCGCGCUGCCACGCGCUCCCCACGCUGGAAAAGGAGGGAGAGAGGAGGCAGGUAAUCUAGAGAUGAUUUGCGGUGUAUGGGACCAUGUGUACAGGCUAUUUAUGCCUGCAUCCCCUUCGCCUCCUGUCAUGAUUGUAAGUUUCCUGAGGCCUUCCCAGCCAUACUCCCUGUACAGCCUGUGGAACUGUGAGUCAAUUAAACCUCUUUUCUUGGGGCCGGGUGUGAUCGCACCCGCCUGUAAACCUAGCACUUUGGCAGGCCAAGGCGGGCGGAUCACCUGAGGUCAGCAUCUCGAGACCAUCCUGGCCAACAUGGUGAAACCCCGGCUCUACUAAAAAUACAAAACCUUAGCCGGGCAUGGUGGUGCAUGCCUGUAAUCCCAGCUACUUGGGAGACUGAGGCAGGAGAAUUGCUUGAAUCCAGGAGGCAGAGGUUAUGGAGAGCCAAGAUCGUGCCAUUGCACUCCAAUCUGGGCAACGGGACAAGACUCUGCCUCAAAUAAAUAAAUAAAUAAACAAACAAACCUGUUUUCUUUUUCUUUCUUUCUUUUUUUUUUAGAUGGAGGUUUUGCUUUUGUCGCCCAGGCUGGAGUGCAGUGGUGUGAUCUCGGCUCACUGCAACCUCUGCCUCCCGGGUUCAAGUGAUUCUCCUGCUUCAGCCUCCCGAGUAGCUGGGACUACAGGCGCCUGCCACCACACCCGGCUAAUUGUUGUAUGUUUAGUAGAGACGGGGUUUCACCAUGUUGAGCAGGAUGGUCUCGAUCUCCUGACCUCGUGAUCUGCCCACCUCAGCCUCCCAAAGUGCUGGGAUUACAGGUGUGAACCACUGCACCCAGCCUCUCCUGGAAUUUUCUAAGUGGCUCUAAGAUGUAUUAUAUUUAGCCCCAUUUUACAGGUAGGAGGAGCUGAGGCUCUAAGAUGGCAAAUUACAUCAGAGGGGACCAUCAUCAAUAAAUAUAUUGGAUUUUUUUUUUCAUCAGAGGUACCACACUGGAAAAUACCAAACAUUUUUGGUUUUUAGAUGGAGUUUCGCUCUCUUUUUUUUUUUUUUUUUUUUUUUUUUGAGACGGAGUCUCGCUCUGUCACCCUGGCUGGAGUGCAGUGGCGCGAUCUCAGCUCACUGCAAGCUCCGCCUGCCGGGUUCACGCCAUUCUCCUGCCUCGGCCUCCCAAAGUGCUGGGAUUAACAGGCGUGAGCCACCGCGCCCGGCCGGAGUUUCGCUCUUGUUGCCUAGGCUGGAGUGCAAUGGCGCGAUCUCGGCUCACUGUAACCUCCGCCUCCCAGGAAAAUAACCAAACUUUUUAAUUGUACCAUUGAAAUGCCAGAAUCCCUCUAGGGAGGGGGAGGAGACCAGCGGUCAGAAUGCCUGGGUCCUAGCAACAGACCUUGCAGCCCCAUCUUCUCCGGUUCCUCCAGGGCUAGGCUGAAGAUCAGCAUGUGUCGGGCCACAGCUUCCAGAUUAUUCUCCAGCACAAAGAACUAGAAGGAUGGACAGGGCAGAAUAAUUCUGAGACCUGUUUGCCUGGGUCCUAGGAGACCCAGGAGAGCAGGCCCUCAGCUCUCUCCUUCCACACACCCGAGUUCUGUACACCAGCCUCUUCCUUCAAACACAGAAGUCUGUGUCCCCAGAGCUCUCUUCCCUUCCAUUACUCAGAAGACCUCAUCCUCGAGCUCUUCCCCACUAUAGAACCCAGGAGUUCCAAACCCCAGCCCCUUCCUUCCCCCAAGACGCAUCGGUUCGCUCCCAGCUUCUGCCUCCCUCAGAUCUAGGAGUCUCCAGCCCCUUCAUUCCUGGACCUGAGGUUUUAGAAUUUCAAUCCCUUCCUCCCUCAAGGACUCGGGAAUCUGGGCUCUCAUCUUCAUCCCAGCUCACGUUGAACCUCCUGCGAGGCCAGAACUUCGCUCGGGACAGGGUCCGCAGCAGGUGCCGUCCAUCCACAGAGCCCAGAAGCAGCACAUCUAGCUCGGGGUUGCUGUGCACUGUAUCGGCCUGGGAGUCUGGGUCCACAGGAGGACCUGGCAAGAUGACAGCUGGCUGGGGCACCAUGGUGGUUGGCAGAGCGUCCACCGUAGCAUCCCCUAUAAAAAAUGGACUACAAAUCCCAG
rnacentral:lncRNA from 1 species